AGAGCAGCCUAAGUGAUCGCCCUGAAGUGAUUUGCUUUGGGGAGGAAAGUCCGAGCUCCAGAGGAUAAUGUAUUCUGUUAACGCAGAACACUCAUCUUUUGAUGAGGAGGAUUAGAGCUACAGUGACGAUGCCCUUUACUGGGAGUGAAACGCCGCAAUCUCUACAUGGAGCAAGGCCAAAUAGGAGGAGAUCUUGAUUUUUCAAGAACGAAGCGAUCCGUUUCGUCAUCAUUCUCGGGUAGGCCGCAAGAGUCUGGAAAGUAAUUUCUAGAGUUAGUCGAAUGAUCACCACCUCGCCAAUAAAAUAAUCGAGGGAAACAAAACUCGGCUUAUUGGCUGCUCUUUUA
rnacentral:RNase_P_RNA from 1 species